rnacentral:rRNA from 1 species
GAUGAACGCUGGCGGCGUGCCUAAUACAUGCAAGUCGAGCGAACGGACGAGAAGCUUGCUUCUCUGAUGUUAGCGGCGGACGGGUGAGUAACACGUGGAUAACCUACCUAUAAGACUGGGAUAACUUCGGGAAACCGGAGCCAAUACUGGAUAAUAUUUUGAACCGCAUGGUUCAAAAGUGAAAGACGGUCUUGCUGUCACUUAUAGAUGGAUCCGCGCUGCAUUAGCUAGUUGGUAAGGUAACGGCUUACCAAGGCAACGAUGCAUAGCCGACCUGAGAGGGUGAUCGGCCACACUGGAACUGAGACACGGUCCAGACUCCUACGGGAGGCAGCAGUAGGGAAUCUUCCGCAAUGGGCGAAAGCCUGACGGAGCAACGCCGCGUGAGUGAUGAAGGUCUUCGGAUCGUAAAACUCUGUUAUUAGGGAAGAACAUAUGUGUAAGUAACUGUGCACAUCUUGACGGUACCUAAUCAGAAAGCCACGGCUAACUACGUG